AUUGAACGCUGGCGGCAGGCCUAACACAUGCAAGUCGAACGGCAACAGGAAACAGCUUGCUGUUUCGCUGACGAGUGGCGGACGGGUGAGUAAUGUCUGGGAAACUGCCUGAUGGAGGGGGAUAACUACUGGAAACGGUAGCUAAUACCGCAUAACGUCGCAAGACCAAAGAGGGGGACCCUCGGGCCUCUUGCCAUCGGAUGUGCCCAGAUGGGAUUAGCUUGUUGGUGGGGUAACGGCUCACCAAGGCGACGAUCCCUAGCUGGUCUGAGAGGAUGACCAGCCACACUGGAACUGAGACACGGUCCAGACUCCUACGGGAGGCAGCAGUGGGGAAUAUUGCACAAUGGGCGCAAGCCUGAUGCAGCCAUGCCGCGUGUAUGAAGAAGGCCUUCGGGUUGUAAAGUACUUUCAGCGGGGAGGAAGGGAGUAAAGUUAAUACCUUUGCUCAUUGACGUUACCCGCAGAAGAAGCACCGGCUAACUCCGUG
rnacentral:rRNA from 1 species